AGUGAACGCUGGCGGUAGGCCUAACACAUGCGAGUCGAACGGCAGCACAGUAAGAGCUUGCUCUUACGGGUGGCGAGUGGCGGACGGGUGAGGAAUACAUCGGAAUCUACUUUUUCGUGGGGGAUAACGUAGGGAAACUUACGCUAAUACCGCAUACGACCUACGGGUGAAAGCAGGGGAUCUUCGGACCUUGCGCGAUUGAAUGAGCCGAUGUCGGAUUAGCUAGUUGGCGGGGUAAAGGCCCACCAAGGCGACGAUCCGUAGCUGGUCUGAGAGGAUGAUCAGCCACACGGGAACUGAGACACGGUCCAGACUCCUACGGGAGGCAGCAGUGGGGAAUAUUGGACAAUGGGCGCAAGCCUGAUCCAGCCAUACCGCGUGGGUGAAGAAGGCCUUCGGGUUGUAAAGCCCUUUUGUUGGGAAAGAAAAGCAGCAGGUUAAUACCCCGCUGUUCUGACGGUACCCAAAGAAUAAGCACCGGCUAACUUCGUG
rnacentral:rRNA from 1 species